UACUACAGGUGACGUCUUAGUUAUUUCCUCAGCUUCUUGCUUCCUCAGCAUUUUGAAUACUUCUUUAUUUUUUUUUUAAAGUAAGCUCUACGCCCAAUGUGGGGCUUCAGCUUACAACCCCAAGAUCGAGUCACAUGCUCUACCAACUAAGCCAGCCAGGCACCCCUUGAAUACUUUUAUAACCUCACCCCAAAUGUUAUAAUGACUUGUUUUUGGUUUUCUUGAAUCAAACACUGGCUAAUUGGUAAUGUUUAUUACAUGAAUAACUCACUUAACAAACAACAUAGUUUUAUGUGUCUGUAGCACAUUGUCUGGCCUUUUACAGAUAUCCAAAAAAAACCCCAUGUUUAUUGAAUGGAUAGAUGGAUGGAUGGAUGGAUGGAUGGAAAAUCAACACUUUCCCAAUUCAACACUUUUUUUCUGAUUUUAGAUAAGCAGUCUACAUUCUCAGCUAAUCCCUUUGCUUUCAGGGUUGGUAGAAGAGAGAGAAAAGAGAACAACAACAACAACAACAAACAGGAACAACUAACUUUGUUCAGUGAGAGCAUACACACUUUCUCUUUGUAACAUCUUCAUUGAAAACCCACAUAAAUUUUUAUAUUGCAAAGCCCUAAAGAUGAAAUAAUUUUUUUUAAAUUUCCUAUGAGGUAGUACUGGUAAAUUUACAGUUGUUUCAACCCCAUGAAGAAGUAGACAUCAUCACAUUCCUCAUGAAAAGCUCCAGCAAGAGCCAUUGGCAUGGUUUGAAUAUAAACGUCUAGCAGCUAAAUGACUUUAUCAAGCUACAAUCCCUGUGCUCAGCGAUUUAGAGGAAAUCAGCAGCUUACCCAAAGUUUUUUUUUUCUUUUUGCUGAGCAAUUGGGGGCCAAAAAUAAAACACUAUUACAUCAAACUGCAGACAAACAAAAAUCUGAAUACAUUCGCUAUCUUCUCAGGGCAUUUCUGUACCUAAUGAGCACAGCUGAGCCCAAAGGCGUCAAGAUGUUUCUUGCCAUUAGGCAAUGGGUGGAGGAUUAUCCAAUAAUUCCUGGCGGGCAUUGUCGGUUCUUCUGGGUAAAAUAGGAAGAAGGUCAAAAGAGGAUGCAAAUGUUUUUUAAUCAAUGGAAGAGAGAAGCGAUACAUUCCUCUGACCUUUUCGAUUGCUGGGAAGAUAUAUAAUCUGCAUUAAUUAGCAUGUUGAAGAAUUCCUUCUGGAUUGCCAAGUGCCUUCCUAGCUCACAUUCACGGUCCUAGAAUGCCAGAACUUGGAAGACUCCAUGUUAAGCCUUCUUUGUAAUUACUGCUGAGGAGACUGAGACCCAAGGAGCCAAGUCAUGUUUGGGGUCCGAGACUGGGAGAACCAUGACCUCGGUGAAACCAUUUUGCAAAGCCACUGGUGAGCCUCUCCAUGUGAGCAGAAUGAACUCUUAGCUACCCUUCUGUUUGUAUUUCUUUGUUUGAAUUUGCCAUCAUAUGAACAAUUAGUUAUCAGUCAAAAUAUGCUAUGUCUAACAUCUUUCUUUCCAUUUCUAAAUGUAAAAAAUGAAACUUCUCCUUUCUGAAAGUCUAAAAAUCUGUAACCGGUGAAAACUUAACACUUUUUUUCUGAAGUACAUUAAAAGAAGCAUAGUACAGAAUA